rnacentral:rRNA from 1 species
UACGGAGGGGGCUAGCGUUGUUCGGAAUUACUGGGCGUAAAGCGCGCGUAGGCGGCUUUGUAAGUUAGAGGUGAAAGCCCGGAGCUUAACUCCGGAACUGCCUUUAAGACUGCAUCGCUUGAAUUGUGGAGAGGUAAGUGGAAUUCCGAGUGUAGAGGUGAAAUUCGUAGAUAUUCGGAAGAACACCAGUGGCGAAGGCGACUUACUGGACACAUAUUGACGCUGAGGUGCGAAAGCGUGGGGAGCAAACAGG